CUCCGCUCCAUCGCAUGGUGGGGUGGGAAAUGCUUUUGCGGCAUGGGAUGGGGUCGCGUCCUAUCAGCUUGUUGGCGGGGUGAUGGCCCACCAAGGCGUUGACGGGUAGCCGGCCUGAGAGGGUGACCGGCCACAUUGGGACUGAGAUACGGCCCAGACUCCUACGGGAGGCAGCAGUGGGGAAUAUUGCACAAUGGGCGCAAGCCUGAUGCAGCGACGCCGCGUGCGGGAUGGAGGCCUUCGGGUUGUAAACCGCUUUUGUUCAAGGGCAAGGCACGGUUUCGGCCGUGUUGAGUGGAUUGUUCGAAUAAGCACCGGCUAACUACGUGCCAGCAGCCGCGGUAAUACGUAGGGUGCGAGCGUUAUCCGGAUUUAUUGGGCGUAAAGGGCUCGUAGGCGGUUCGUCGCGUCCGGUGUGAAAGUCCAUCGCCUAACGGUGGAUCUGCGCCGGGUACGGGCGGG
rnacentral:rRNA from 1 species